UGUCGUCCCGUGCCUGUUCUGCUGCAUCUGCUCCUCGUGUCUGCCACAAAGGACUUCCGUCCACUCGCGCCACACCGUGCCUACCACGCACGGCGUCGCGGCCGAACCCAUGGAGACUGAAAACCCAGAAGUCAGCAACUGUCCUCAUUACGCCGGAGAAACCAAUCAGCCAGGGAGAUUGAUGAUCAGCCAAUAGCCUAGAAUGCAGUCGGCCAGUAUUUGCAAAGAACUCUAGCCUGCAGUGAGGAUCCGAGCACUGGGAAAUGCCAGCACACUCUAUUCAAAUAAGGAGCAUUCAGACCUCCUGUUGCAGGAAUGGUCCACACUUAGCAGCAGAGGAGCCUCAGACCCACGCGAGCGGCAAGGCCUCACCCACCUGGCAGCCAGCACAGCUGCCCUGCCACAAGUUCUCGUCCCGGUUCCUGAGCAUGCCAACCUUGACCUUCAACUCCACGCCAUCAGGGAGCCCUGCUCUUGCUUGUGACUUGU